rnacentral:rRNA from 1 species
GUCCUUUUGUUUAUUAAUUUAAGGUUUGACCUGCCCAAUGAGGAAUUCAAUGGCCGCAGUAUUUUAACUGUGCUAAGGUAGCAUAAUCAUUUGUCUUUUAAUUGAGGGCUGGAAUGAAGGGUUGGACGAGGCAUUAGCUUUCUUUGAUUUAAUUUAGGAAUUUAAUUUUUGAGUUAAAAAGCUUAAAUUUAUUUAUGGGACGAGAAGACCCUAUAGAUCUUUAUGGUUUUAUGUUUUAAUAAUUUAGGGAUUUAUAUAUUUUAAGCAGAUGAAUUAUUUUGUUGGGGUGACUGUAGAAUUUAAAUAACUUCUAUUUUUUAUUUUCAUUAAUUAAUGUUUUUUUGAUCCAUAAUUUAUGAUUAGAAGAAUAAGUUACCUUAGGGAUAACAGCGUAAUUUCCUCGGAGAGUUCAUAUUGAUGAGGGAGUUUGCGACCUCGAUGUUGGAUUAAAAUAAGUUGUGGAUGCAGGAGUCUAUUUACUAGGUCUGUUCGACCUUUGAAUUUUU